rnacentral:rRNA from 1 species
CCUACGGGAUGCAGCAGUGGGGGAUAUUGGACAAUGGGGGAAACCCUGAUCCAGCGACGCCGCGUGAGUGAAGAAGUAUUUCGGUAUGUAAAGCUCUGUCAGCAGGGCAGAAAGAACUGACUGUACCUGACCAAUAAGCCCCGGCUAACUACGUGCCAUCCGCCGCGGUAAUACGUAGGGGGCAAGCGUUAUCCGGAAUUACUUGGUGUAAAGGGGGCGUAGACGGUGAUGCAAGUCUGGAGUGAAAGGCGGGGGCUCAACCCACGGACUGCUCUGGAAACUGUGUAACUGGAGUGCAGGAGAGGUAAGCGGAAUGCCUAGUGUAGCGGUGAAAUGCGUAGAUAUCAGGAGGAACACCGGCGGCGAAGGCGGCAUGAUGGACUGAAACUGACGUUGAGGCUCGAAAGCGUGGGGAGCAAACAGGAUUAGAUACCCGUGUAGUC